rnacentral:rRNA from 1 species
AUUGAACGCUGGCGGCAGGCCUAACACAUGCAAGUCGAACGCGUGGCGGACGGGUGAGAAAUGUCUGGGAAACUGUCUGAUGGAGGGGGAAAACCACUGGAAACGGUAGCUAAUACCGCAUACUAUCAGAUGCGCCCAGAUGGGAUUAGAUUGUUGGUGGGGUAAGGGCUACCCAAGGCGACGAUCCCUAGCUGGUCUGAGAGGAUGACCAGCCACACUGGAACUGAGACACGGUCCAGACUCCUACGGGAGGCAGCAGUGGGGAAUAUUGCACAAUGGGCGCAAGCCUGAUGCAGCCAUGCCGCGUGUAUGAAGAAGGCCUUCGGGUUGUAAAGUACUUUCAGCGGGGAGGCGUUACCCGCAGAAGAAGCACCGGCUAACUCCGUGCCAGCAGCCGCGGUAAUUC